GCUCAGAACUCAAAGAAUGACGGGGCCCGCACAAGCGGAGGAACAUGUGGUUUAAUUCGAUGAUACGCGAGGAACCUUACCCGGGCUUGAAAUGCAUCUGACGAGGGGCGGAGACCGCCCUCUUCCGUUCGGGACAGAUGUGUAGGUGCUGCAUGGUUGUCGUCAGCUCGUGCCGUGAGGUGUCGGCUUAAGUGCCAUAACGAGCGCAACCCUCAUCAUUAGUUACCAUCAGGUUAAGCUGGGGACUCUAGUGAGACUGCCAUCGUAAGAUGCGAGGAAGGUGGGGAUGACGUCAAAUCAGCACGGCCCUUACGUCCGGGGCGACACACGUGUUACAAUGGGUGGUACAAAGGGCAGCUACAUGGCGACAUGAUGCUAAUCUCCAAAACCACUCUCAGUUCGGAUCGGAGUCUGCAACUCGACUCCGUGAAGUUGGAAUCGCUAGUAAUCGUGGAUCAGCAUGCCACGGUGAAUACGUUCCCGGGCCUU
rnacentral:rRNA from 1 species